rnacentral:rRNA from 1 species
CGUGUAGGCUGUCGUGCAAGUCGGAUGUGAAAGCCCAGGGCUCAACCUUGGAAGUGCACUCGAAACUGCAAGACUUGAAUCUCGGAGAGGGUGGCGGAAUUCUGGGUGUAGAGGUGAAAUUCGUAGAUAUCCAGAGGAACACCGGUGGCGAAGGCGGCCACCUGGACGAGUAUUGACGCUGAGACGCGAAAGUGUGGGGAGCAAACAGGAUUAGAUACCCUGGUAGUCC